ensembl:snRNA U6 U6 spliceosomal RNA
GUGCUCACUUAGGCAGCAUAUAUACUAAAAUUGGAACGAGAUAGAGAAGAUUAGCGUGGCCCCUGUUUAAGGAUGACACACAUAUUUGUGAAGCGUUCCACAUUAAA